rnacentral:tRNA from 1 species
GAUGGUAUAGCUCAGUGGUAGAGCAUGUGCAUAGCAUGCAUGAGGUCCUGAGUUCAAUCCCCAGUACCUCCA